UCGGGAGCGCCCGGAGGCGCCGGGCGGCGUUUCGAUUCGGACCCGUCCACGGGCCGAGCCGCCUGGCAGCUGUCUCCGGCGAGUCCGACGCAUUUCCUCCCGCACGGCGGACGCCGCAACCGGUUGGGUAGCUGCAAGAGUCGGCCAGAAGGAUCGGCGACGGCAGGUGGUCCGGGGAAGGCUUCGGCCCCCCC
rnacentral:rRNA from 1 species